rnacentral:rRNA from 1 species
UACAGAGGUCCCAAGCGUUGUUCGGAAUCACUGGGCGUAAAGCGCACGUAGGCGGAUUUGUAAGUCAGGGGUGAAAUCCCGGGGCUCAACCUCGGAACUGCCUUUGAUACUGCGAAUCUCGAGUCCGAUAGAGGUGGGUGGAAUUCCUAGUGUAGAGGUGAAAUUCGUAGAUAUUAGGAGGAACACCGGUGGCGAAGGCGGCCCACUGGAUCGGUACUGACGCUGAGGUGCGAAAGCGUGGGGAGCAAACAGG